rnacentral:misc_RNA from 1 species
GUUCGAGCUCAAUUUUCUGAAAAAGUGCUACAUUCAAGACUGGAUGAAUUAGACAACCAACAAUCCAGCUUUCAGAACAACUUUGUGAACCAUUGUCUCCUUGUGAAUCUGAUGGCAGCUCUUCUCUACGAGGUCGAGCAACUUCUCUAAGUUCACCGCCCAUGAGUUGAGGAUGUCAUUGCUAUCUUUGGCUGCUUGGAAAUACACAACACCAACUGGACGGUCGAUCUUGGCUAUCAGGGCCUUCGAAACCACCAUAUCAGAAAGAUGCUUCUCAGCGUCCAUUAAACUGAGGCAUAGUAAUUCAGCAAUUCUCUUUAAGGUAAUUCUUGAAUAAUAUUUGGACACUACCAAGAUAUUAUGCUCAAUAAUUCUUUCUCGAAGAUCAUCUGCUG